rnacentral:lncRNA from 1 species
AGGGAUCUUACUGGGGCUAAGGGAAGACUGAGAGGGACCUUGAGCUGACACAGAAGCCAGAGUAGGAGCAGUGGAGGACUGAGCAGCUUGCCUUUUUCUGCGGAUAUUUUCUUCAAGCUCUCAGACCGACUUUCUUCUCUGAGGGAGCUUCAUCUUCGGAGCCAUUCUCACCACAGCAGCAGGCAGAGAGACUUGGAGGAUCAAGUGGAUGAGUGGAAGAAGGAGCUACAAAAGGA